UACGGAGGGUGCGAGCGUUAAUCGGAAUUACUGGGCGUAAAGCGCGCGUAGGCGGUGGCGUGAGUCGGGCGUGAAAGCCCCGGGCUUAACCUGGGAAUUGCGUUCGAUACUGCGCUGCUAGAGUCUGGGAGAGGGAAGGGGAAUUCCGGGUGUAGCGGUGAAAUGCGUAGAUAUCCGGAGGAACACCAGUGGCGAAGGCGCCUUCCUGGCCCAAGACUGACGCUGAGGUGCGAAAGCGUGGGGAGCAAACAGG
rnacentral:rRNA from 1 species